AUGGAGAACGCCAACGUGCUGGCGCGCUACGGCAGCAUCUGCCAGCAGGUCACCAGUGUCACCNUUCUUUCUCCAUUUUUUUCCCAAUUUUUUCCUCCGUGUCCCCACCGAUGUCCCCAAUGUCCUCAAUGUCCCCAACAUCCCCAAUGUCCUCAAUGUCCUCAAUCCCAAUUUUUCCCAAUUUUCCACCAUUGUUUUCUCAAAUUUCCACCGAUUUUUCUCAAAUUUUCUCCAAUUUUCUUCCAAAUUUUUUCUCAAUAUCCCCCAAUGUCCCCAAUGUCCCCAAUGUCCUCAAUGUCCCCAAUCCCAUUUUCCCCAAUUUUCCACCAUUUUUUUCCCAAUUUUCCACCAUUUUUUUCCAAUUCUCCACCGACCUUCCUCAUUUUUCCACCGAUUUUCCUCGUUUUUUCACCAUUUUUUCUCCAUUUUUUUCCCAAUUUUUUCCUCCGUGUCCCCACCGAUGUCCCCAAUAUCCCCAAUGUCCCCAACAUCCCCAAUGUCCUCAAUGUCCCAACAUCCCCAAUGUCCCCAAUCCCAUUUUUUCCCAAUUUUCCACCAUUUUUUUCUCAAAUUUCCUCUGAUUUUCCUCAUUUUUUCACCGAUUUUUCUCCGAUUUUUUCCCAAUUUUUUCCUCCGUGUCCCCUCCGUGUCCCCACCGAUGUUCCCAAUCUCCUCAAUGUCCCCAAUCCCAUUUUUCCCAAUUCUCCACCGAUUUUCCUCAUUUUUUCACCAAUUUUCCUCAUUUUUUCACCGAUUUUUCUCCGAUUUUUUUCCCAAUUUUUUCCUCCACGUCCCCUCCGAUGUCCCCAAUGUCCUCAAUGUCCCCAAUGUCCCCAAUCCCAAUGUCCCCAAUGUCCCCAAUGUCCCCAAUCCCAUUUUUUCCCCAAUUCUCCACCUAUUUUCCUCAUUUUUUCACCGAUUUUUCUCAAAUUUUUUCCUAUUUUUUUCCAAACUUUUUCUCAAUGUCCUCCAAUGUCCCUAAAGGUCCUCAGUGUCCCCAAUGUCCCCAAUCCCAAUUUUUCCCAAUUUUCCACCAUUUUUUUCCCAAUUCUCCACCGAUCUUCCUCAUUUUUCCACCGACCUUCCUCAUUUUUCCACCGUUUUUCCUCAUUUUUUCACCGUUUUUUCUCGUUUUUUCACCGUUCCUUCUCCAUUUUUUUCCCCAAUUUUUCCCCUGGGUGUCCCCUGGGUGUCCCCAGGGCUGGACGGGCUGAUGGAGCGCUGUGCCCAGUACAAGAAGGACGG
rnacentral:lncRNA from 1 species